UUGCUCUAUGGUUCAAUGGUAGAACGGCGCACUGUUAAUGCGAUGGUUACUGGUUCGAGUCCAGUUAGAGCAGU
rnacentral:tRNA from 1 species